ACCAAAUAUACCAUAGUAAGCUGAACUUCCGGUCCGCCAUUUUGAUUUAUGUUGAAAACCUACUUUGUCGAACUCCUCAUCAACCGUAGGUCCGAUUUUCACCAAAUUCGAAUCAAAUGAUCUUCAGACUAUGCUGACUCAAAGUUAUGGCUUUUGAGUCGAUAGACAAAACCGUUUUCGCAUACCACAUCGACGAAUUUGAGGCACAAUGAGAAAAUGACACUUGAGGCUGUAUCCCUGGAAUGCUUUGGCAUAUUGACACCAAACUUUGUGUGUGUCAUUGAAAAGUCACACAGAGUACACCAAAUUGAUUUUAUAACAGUGCCACCUAUUGGUCAAGCUUGAUAAGCCAAGUAAUCAUGCUACUAGAGGUGGUAUUAUAAUUUUUUUUUGCCAUUUCAAUUACAAUAAUUCCAAAAUUGCUGUUAUUGCUCAUUAAUGAAUUUGGUGUGAUGCUUCAUGCGAUGCUUAGCUCCUACAUUUGCCGUUGGAGUGCUUGGCCCCGUAAUUGCUGCUUGCAGCUAUAUUUAGGGGCCAAGCACCGAAGGUGCGUAGGCACCUAUUGUUUUCGUUGGCGUUAUUAGGGGCCAAGCACCGAAGGUGCGAGGCACCUAUUGUUUUUGUUCCGGUUCUUAUUAUUAUUAUUAUUAUUAUUAUUAUUCUUCCGACUGGGAGUCUAUGGCAGCCCAUAGAACCGAAUGCGGGAAAGUUGUUUUGGUUUGACAUUCUGAUAGAGGACAGUGCCAACAUUUAGUACACCAAUUUUGGUGUGUCUAAGAAAUUCCCUCUAGCGCCACCAACUGUCCGAAAUUUCACUUUAAUUUUGUUAAUAACUUUUUAACCGUAAGUCCAAUCAACAAAAUUCUUGUUUCCUCUGAUUUCUGAGCUCAUGCCAAUUCGAUUGCACCCUAUGCCGUCAUUUUCCGUCAUAGAAAUAUGGCCGCCAUUUUGAAUUCUUUGAAAAACCUACUUUUUCGAACUCGUCCUAGACGGUUUGUCCGAUUCACACGAAAAUUGAACCAGAUCAUCUUCAGGCAGUGCUGACCAAAAGUUAUGCAAAUCAAAUUGAUUCGUCAAACCGUUUUCGAAAAACGCUCAAACAAAUUUUACGAAACGCUUAGAAAAACAGUCGUAAGGCUGUAUCUCUGCAACGAUUUAUCGUAUUCAGACCAAACCUGGUACAUGUCAUAACAAGCAUGACCUGAGGCUACUUGCUGCGUUUCGGCGCAGCGCCACCUACUGGUCCGGAGAUAUGAAAAAUUGCUAUUUUUGCUUAUAACUUCUAAACAGUUUGUCCAAAAAUCAUAACAUUGGUCUUGUUAGAUUCAGGGCAACAUGCCGAGUCGACUGAUAUCAAAUUUUACAAUUUCGGCCAUUUUGUCUGUCGGCCAUUUUGAAUUUUGUGCUAAAAUGCUGUAUUUUCAGAACGCAUUAACGGAUUGUUACGAAACAUGGUAUGGGUCAUCAGCACAAUGUCCUGAAGGAGUGUGAGAAGUUUCGAAACAGCGCCACCUAGUGGUGAUCAUCCUUUUUUAAAUGCUUAUAACCUUGUGUGUGGUCGACUUAUUUUCUCGAGACUCACCAAAUUAGACUCCUGAAACCUUACAGAGUCCUACGAUACCAAACAUGCUAGGUUUCGCCUUACGGUUUGUGUAGCGUUGUGAUUUAGCGCUUAAAAAACAUCUGGCUAUAUCUUCGAAACCACUUGUCUGAUCGAGACGAAACCACCGUCAGAAGUUCGGAAACAUAGGUCGAUAGCUAUAUGCCAAUGCCCAAAUGCCAAAAUAUUGAUGGUAAGGUGUAGUAAUAUUCAAUCAAAGUCAAGAGUCAGUCAUUUUUUACGUGCUUUUUCAUAUAAAUGUCUAUAACUCUGAAGUGAAUUGAGAUAUUUUCAC